rnacentral:tRNA from 1 species
GGAGCUGUGGCUGCGCAGUGGUUAAGUGCUCAGCUGCUAACUGAAAGGUCAGUGGUUCAAACCCAACAGCUCUU